AGGGUCUGGUUGGUCUAGCAGGUCCUAAUGGUCCUCCAGGUCUACCUGGUCUCUCUGGUAGAGUAGGACAGAAGGGUUCUAAAGGGAAUCAGGGUCCCAUUGGUGCUAUCGGAGAUACAGGUCCUGCUGGCCCUCCUGGACCUCCUGGUCUCCCUGCGGUGGGUCUUCAGUCUCUCCCGGUGCAGGAGAGAGGAAGGAGGAGGAGACAACACUCUUCCUUUGACGGGCCGCACUGGAAGACGAGGAAGAGCAAGAGGGGAUGGAGGGAAGGGAGGAGGGAGAGGAAGAAAGGAUGCAGGCAGACCAGGCAGGGCAGGAGGAGGAGAAAGAGAUGGAGGAGGUGUUUGCUUCUCUCUCUUCUAUGAGGACGGAGGUAGAGGGUCUGAGGACCCCCUGGGGACCUACCAGUAUCCAGCCCGAACUUGCAAGGAGCUACAGCUGUUGUUCCCAAAGUACACUGAUGGUGAGUACUGGAUAGACCCUAACCAGGGUUGCCAUAGAGACUCCUUCAAGGUGUUCUGUAACUUCACGGCCGAUGGAGAGACGUGUCUGUACCCUGACAUGAAGUUCCAGUCGGUGAAGCUGAGUUCCUGGAAAGGAGAGAAACCUGGUACCUGGUACAGCCAGUUCAGGAAAGGAA